UUUUACUCUCUCUCCCAGAUCUUCUAAUUUUAAAGAAAACCCCUAAACUAUCACAAAUUUUGCAAAAAAACACUCCGGGACCACUGUUCCGUUUGGUUUUUGCGCUGAUACAUGCACGUGACAUAUGAUAUAUUUCCAAAAAUCCCAUUUAUACCCUUCUAACCGUUGCUGGUAUAUCCGUUUGGGUUUGGUUUUUUCCCACGUGUGAGUUUUAACCCAAUAAAACCCAAUCUGCAAUCUGUAUUGUUAACCCUAAUUUCAAUUCCUUUUCUUCCCUACCAAAAUUCCCAAAUACUACUCGAUCGUUUUGUGCAAGCCUUCAACACACAGACCAAACGUAUCAAUUUCGCUCACAAACCCUUGCUUUUGUUCACAAUCUGCCAACAAUCAGAAGCAUAUUGCUGUGAUUUACAGUGAGAAAACGAAGGGGUAAUAAAUCGAAGAUGUGUUGAAGUUGUGUUGACAACAGUAAGAUUCCGAUGAUAAUCCGGGGAGAAUCUAUUACAAAUGUUCAGCUGGAGUUUGCACUUUCUGGGAAUGGUGGAAGCAUUCUUCAUCAUCACCACCACCACAAAUGCAAACACCACCCCCAAUAGCAGUAGUAGCAACAACGGCAAUGACAACACCAAAUAUGAAUGUGUUAAUUUCAUUUAAAAAAAAUCUCUUCAUUAGCAGCUUGUUUCUUUUUGGGUUAUCUGUUUUGGUGUUGGUUGUUGCAUUGACACUUAGGUGAGGUUGUGUCUACAACCAAAAUGCCAAAAGACUUGUGGAGUGUUUGGUGAAUUGAUGCUUAGGUGGGUUUUUAGUUGUUGCAAUUUUCUGGGUUAAAGUUUGGAGGAAUUUUUGCUUGUUUUAGCAGGGGGGCUGACUAUGUUUAUCUCUUUUGGUGCAUUGAUAUGUAGGAGUUGGUUUCUGGGUUAAUAGUGUAUAUGUAGCAGUGUGUAUUGGGGUUAACUAAUGUAUGGAUAGUCGAUCUUGAUUAUGAUUUAGAAGAAUUAAUGUUGUAUUGAUGAUCAAUUAAUGAAAAAAUGAAUGAUUUUGUUGUUGUCAA